rnacentral:rRNA from 1 species
ACGAACGCUGGCGGCGUGCUUAACCCAUGCAAGUCGAACGGAAAGGCCCCUUUGGGGGUACUCGAGUGGCGAACGGGUGAGUAACACGUGAGUAACCUGCCCUUGACUUCGGGAUAACUUCAGGAAACUGGGGCUAAUACCGGAUAGGAAUCCUUGCUGCAUGGUGGGGGUUGGAAAGCUUCGGCGGUUUUGGAUGGACUCGCGGCUUAUCAGCUUGUUGGUGGGGUAGUGGCUUACCAAGGCUUUGACGGGUAGCCGGCCUGAGAGGGCGACCGGCCACAUUGGGACUGAGAUACGGCCCAGACUCCUACGGGAGGCAGCAGUGGGGAAUAUUGCACAAUGGGCGGAAGCCUGAUGCAGCAACGCCGCGGGCGGGAUGACGGCCUUCGGGUUGUAAACCGCUUUCAGCAGGGGCGAAGCUUGUGGUGACGGUACCUGCAGAAGAAGCACCGGCUAACUACGUG